UACGGAGGGUGCGAGCGUUGUCCGGAAUCAUUGGGCGUAAAGGGCGCGUAGGUGGCCCGGUCAGUCUUUGGUGAAAGCGCGGGGCUCAACCCUGCGUCGGCCAGGGAUACUGCCGCGGCUGGAGCACUGUAGAGGCAGGCGGAAUUCCGGGUGUAGCGGUGGAAUGCGUAGAGAUCCGGAAGAACACCGGUGGCGAAGGCGGCCUGCUGGGCAGUUGCUGACACUGAGGCGCGACAGCGUGGGGAGCGAUCCGG
rnacentral:rRNA from 1 species